GCGCCCAUAGUUCAAUGGUAGAACAUCCGCCUUUUAAGCGGUCAACGAUGGUCCGAUUCCAUCUGGGCGCACCA
rnacentral:tRNA from 2 species